UACAGAGGGGGCAAGCGUUGUUCGGAAUUACUGGGCGUAAAGGGCGCGUAGGCGGCCUGCUAAGUCGAACGUGAAAUCCCUGGGCUCAACCCAGGAACUGCGUCCGAUACUGGUUGGCUUGAAUCCGGGAGAGGGAUGUGGAAUUCCAGGUGUAGCGGUGAAAUGCGUAGAUAUCUGGAGGAACACCGGUGGCGAAGGCGACAUCCUGGACCGGCAUUGACGCUGAGGCGGCGAAAGCCAGGGGAGCAAACGGG
rnacentral:rRNA from 1 species